UUGAACGCUGGCGGCAUGCUUUACACAUGCAAGUCGAACGGCAGCGCGGGGCAACCUGGCGGCGAGUGGCGAACGGGUGAGUAAUACAUCGGAACGUACCCAGAAGUGGGGGAUAACGUAGCGAAAGUUACGCUAAUACCGCAUACGUUCUACGGAAGAAAGUGGGGGACCUUCGGGCCUCAUGCUUUUGGAGCGGCCGAUGUCUGAUUAGCUAGUUGGUGAGGUAAAGGCUCACCAAGGCGACGAUCAGUAGCUGGUCUGAGAGGACGACCAGCCACACUGGGACUGAGACACGGCCCAGACUCCUACGGGAGGCAGCAGUGGGGAAUUUUGGACAAUGGGCGCAAGCCUGAUCCAGCAAUGCCGCGUGAGUG
rnacentral:rRNA from 1 species